UCAUCCUCAGCAACAGAGCCAAUUUUGUCUUUAUAGGGCAACCACUUUCCUAAGCAUAAAGCUGUAUGAACCUAUGGUUCCUGACUCAGAGUUAUUUUCUAUGUGUCUCCCAAGUCCAAGUUCUUUUUUUUUUUUUUUUAACCAUUACACACAACUAUUAGGAAGAAAUGAAAAGAGAACUAUGCUUGCUGAGAAAAUGGAAACAGUUUAAUACUGAGUGGGUGAUUCUCCCACUGGAGGGCUCCCAUCAGCUGCUAAAUUUUAGGGAAACUGUGCAAGACAGGUUUUUCAUAAUUUUUGCAUGCUUUCUACUGGGUCUAUUAGUCACUGUGAUCCAGAUGUGUACUCGAGAUUUAUAGUUGUUUACUUGGGAAGCAAAAUCUCAUAGGAAACAGGAAAGGGAUUUUUCAUUUAAAGAAUAAAUAUUUGUGUUCUAGAUGAAGAAGAAAGUGCCUUCCUGAGCUGAAUUUCUGCUGCUGGGUAGUUAACAGUCUGGUACAUAAUAAUACCACACAUUCAUUGACCGAGGGAUGGGCUCUGUGCUAACACAGUCUAAGCAUCACUCUUCUUCUUAAUCCUUACAAACCUUGUGAAGUAGGUGCUGUUCAGGGCUGCAUGUUUGCAGACGAAGAAGUAGGCUCAGAAAGACAAGAUGGGUUCGCUGAGAUUCUUCGGGUAGUUGAAAGGCAGAGCCAGGAUCUGAGCCCAGGCUGUGUAAUUCCAAGGCCACAUUUUUGGGCACCAUCCUAUCCUAUUUUGCUUGUAGCUUAUCCGAAACAACCUAAUUUCAAUCUGAUUUCUUUUUUUUUUUUUUUUUUCCCCAAACAGGACUACAUACUUGUAAUUCUGUCCAUGGAAGUAGGCCUCAGUUUCUGUGUUCAGAUGCGUCUCCGUGCUUCUCUUCACCAGGCAGCAGUUUUAACCCAAGCUUGGACUGACCUUUGGGUAGAUUAG
rnacentral:lncRNA from 1 species